AACGAAGAAAUUUUUCUUGUAUUAGACUCUUCAUUUGCCUUUGCUUUCAGUUUCAUUAUAGACUCAGCUGAAAAAUGGAAGAUUCUCUCUCUUAAAAUGGAUGUUUCAUAUCUGUGAACAAACUCCUCGUGAUGUUUGAAUGGAAGGUUGAUAAUCGGACCAUAACCUUGUGGAAACCAUCUAUUGUGGAUAGGUUGAUGUGAAAUCGGAACAAGAACAUGAAUAUCAUUUUGAAAUAUCUCAGAAAAUGAGUUAAAGAAAUUCCAAUAACCAGUCCCAUCACCUAUACAAUGAUUCAUGGAACAACCUAUAAAAACACCAUCCAAUAAUUCAGUUACUUGAAUAGUUAAUAAAGACAUGGUAUGACCAUCAUGGCUGACUGCUUUGUCAUGAUCAAAGAACGAUUGGACAAUGGGUGGGACAUCAACUGGUGAGAGAAUAUCAUUUAUGGUGAUAUCUAAAGUUGCAUGAAUAAAUCUAGCUCCGCGACUGUUUUUGCAAUCAACGAAAACAGUGUAAGAAUGAGGGUCUUCAGAUUUUUUAGUAACAAGACGACCAGACAGGGGAUAAUAAUGAAAAAGUGUGAGAGAAAGAGAGUGUUUGAGUUUGUCCACUAGGUUCUCAAUGAAGUGUUGUUGGUUUAGUGAUGAUGUUGGUUUCUUGAAGAGAAGUCCCUUUUGGAUAUAGUGUGUAGAUAACAUGGCAAUAUCCCAAUGUGUUAGAUAGCAUAUUUGGUUUGAGUCUUUGAUAGGGGGAUAAGGUUUAAUAAAACAUGCAGAAACAAUGUUUAGGGAAGGGAUCCUCAUAUUUUGGAGGUGAAGAAACGAGUCUCUUUUGAAGUUUUUUUUUUUUUUUUUGUUGUAUCAUUCAUGUGAAGAUAGUAGUAUUAAUAAACAAAUUAGAGAUAAUGAUUUAUUGUCUCUGUAGGAUCGAUAAGGAUGCUCAGAGGAAGGUGUCAGCAGCACGCAAAGCAAGCAAAUCAAUGGUUCAAUGCCUUAUCUAGAGCUUAGGACUUACCUAAUUAGAGAUUGUCACCACAUGUGUUUGAUUGUUGUUGGCUACGUGUUCAAACACUUGCUGAAAGCUUUGUCCAAUAAAAAUAGUUUGCUGACAAUCUUGUUAGUUUAUUAGUAAAGAUAUGUUUUGUUUCGAGUAAAUAGACAAUUACCCUUAAAAUUGUAAAUUUUAUAAAUUACUCCUUUGAAAUUAACAAAACUUUAAUUACUCAUGAAAUUUCACAACGUUAAUCAAUUUACCCUCUCCGUCAAAUUUUUCUGUUAGUGAACAUGACGUUUUUCAAAUACCCAUGAAGUUUUGCACUUAUGUGCAAAAUGUCCCCCAACUUAAAAAUUAAUAUUAUUUUUUUCUUAAAGACAAACGAUUAAAUAUUAAAGCUUUAGAGUUUGGAAAAACUACAUGCAUAUAUACAUCAAAAUAGGAAAAAAUGUGUAUUUUUAAAGUGACAAUAAUGGUUAUUUUUAAUAGACAAAUUAUUAUGUUUAUGGGUUUAUAGACAAACUAAUAAUCAGUUUUAAAUUUAUAUUUUCUCUUUCACCAUCUUAGUCUUUUAACUCCUCUAACUCCUUCAACAAUUUGCUCAAAUCAUUUAAACUACACAACCCCCAAUAUUUUCAUAUGAUUUGUUCUUGUUUACACACUUUAUAGAAAACUUAAUUCUAACUUCUUGUUUGUGCUUCAGGCAGAGAUAAUCAUUCAUCGUAUACAAUCUAGCUCACACCACAAUACUAUCAGACCGACAUAUCAUAUAUAGCAUAUUAAGUAAUAUUCAUGUAAAAAAGACACAAAUCAUAAGCAAAUGAAAUAUGUGAUCGGUAUGUAUAGAGGAAACACUUAUUGAGAAAUGUCAAACAGUUAGUCAUAUAUUUCUUCACCUUUGAAAUUAAUCCACAAAUCAUCUCAUUACUGUCACUUUAAAAAAUACACAUUUUCCCCCAUUUUGAUGUAUAUAUGCAUGUAGUUUUCCCAAAUUCCAAAAUUAAUAGUUAGUUUUAAUAUUUAACUAUCAAUUGUUUGUUUUUAAGAAAAAAUAAUAUAAAUUUUUAAGUUUAGGGGGCAUUUUGCAAAUAAGUGCAAAACUUCAGGGGGGUAUUUGCAAAACGUCAUGUUCACUAAGAGAAAAAUUUGACGGAUGAGGUAAAUUGAUUAACGUUGUGAAAUUUCAAAGGUGUAAUUGAAGUUUUGUUAACUUCAGGAGGGUAUUUGCCUAUUUACUCAUUUUGUUUCUUCAGGUGAGAAAAGACAUAUUUUUAUUAUGACUAUAAAAAUAAGAAUUUAAAAUAGGUUUAAUUGCAGUAGUUUUGAUGAUCAAAUUAUAAAAUAAGGCCGUCUAGCCUGAGGCAUUUAGCAUACACAAGUUAUUGAAUUUGAAGUAUCAUAUAAGUAUCAUAUACAAAUGAAUUUUUAUUGUCCCGUUACUUUUGAACGGAUUUAAAUCCGUCGCCACUUUCAACCAAUUAGAAUGCGGUAUUUUUUCAAUAAGUAAUGUCAUAUACAUUUUCUCUCUUCCAUUUGUCAAAUACCUUUUCUUUUUCUUUUUCCAUUAUAUAUUCAAGUAUAUUCCUUUUAUUUUUAAGGGAAAUUCAAGUAUUUUCAAUCAAAUCUUUUUAUUAUUACAUGGUCGAUUAAGUUUUUUUUUUUUUUUUUUUUAAAUUAUACAUAAAAACAACAUUAAUAUCUUCCCUCUUGAAACAAAAAACACAUUUACAACUUAGCUCCUCAUCAGUUCUUUCAAGAUCUGGUCAUCAAUUACAACGCCGAAUUCGCCAUCGCCGACGAGAAGAAAGGUUGUCAUAUCUGUGAGGUUGUCGUUACUCGCAUCCUUUGACACAUAAAUUCAUUUUCAAUGGAUCAGGCAAGGUAAUGGAAUAUAUUAUAUGAAUCGUACAAUGUUUCUUUCAUUUGAGUUCCAUUAUUUUAGAUGAAACAGUGUAAUCUAGAAUUUCAUGAACAUAUCGAAUCUAAAUAUGUUAUUAGUUUUAGGAUUAUUAAGAUUUUAGUGCGUAAGUUUGAUUAAACCAUAUUUGAUUAAUAGAAAAAAAACAAGGUAUUUUAUACUUUUAACAUAUAUUCCACAGAAAUGGAAAUGAAACAUCUUUAUUCACAUAUUUCGACAAAAUUACACACAUUAUAUUAAGGAUACAAAUGAUAUCGAUAAAGGAAAGUAAACCACUAUCUUAAAAACAGCCUUGGAAUGGUAGGGUAACCACCCAAAACCAUAACAUCCUCCGAGUGGAAACACAAAGAUAUUUGUGUUACAAAAUUCCUUUCGGAGGAUGUUCCGAGAAACCCCAAUCUUCCUACCAUCAUUGAUUAAAUAAUAGACUAUAGAUUUCACACAAUGGUGUUCACAUAGAAGAAGAAAACGUUGUUUUCCUUUACUAUCUCACUUUUUGGAUGAAACGGUGUAGGUGUACACCUACUCAAAUUGGGGGUGGACGUAAUGAUGAAUUUUGGAGCUCGUCAAUUCUUUCACCCUUAAGACAGAGGCCUUAAUGCAAGACAUGUUGAAAAAGAACCAACUUUCCCAAAGUUAAAAAUAAACUUAGUAUAACACACAGUGAGAAAAGAGUGAUGCGAGAUAUAUGGCUUAGUGUGAGAAAGAAAGCAGUACUAAAACAUGUUGUGAAAAGAGAAAUAGGAAUAAUAUGACUUAGUUUUUUAGAAUGAAGGCAAUGGAUAAUAGCCAUUAUAUAGUAAUCUAACUACCACCUUUAAAGUCAUUUCAAACUUGUGUUUGGAUUGAGGGUUUAGGAGGGGAGGGUUCACUUUUAAUUUUUAAAUUACGAACGGUGUAAAAUGUUUUUUUAAAAUAAAUUAAAUGUUUUUGAAGUAUUAUAUAAUCAUUUAUCAUGUUGUUAAUUAAAUUUUAUAAAAAUCAUUUUACACCGUUAUUGCUAUUUUGUUAAAGAUAAGGGAUCAAAGGUGUAUAUAUUUUUAAAAAAUAAUAGAAGGCCAAAAUUGCUAUAUUUUUGCAAUGAUUUGUAAAGUUGAGAGGUAAACUGUUAUAUUUUUUUAUUAGGGGUCAAAAUUGUAACUUUUAAAAAGUUAAAUGGUCAAAUGUUCACUUAAACCAUUAUUAUAAUUGAAGAUAAUGUAAAAUGUAUCUUAAUUGAUGUGGUUGUUUUUGUUUUUUACGAACAAAAGAUAUAAGUUGUUGAUUUAGGUAAGAGUAAUAAUAUUUGUACAAUUAUUUAUGAUAAUUUUUAGAAUAAUUUUAUUUUUCUCUCUUUAAUUGGUCAAAAACAAUAAGAGAAAGAGUAAAAACAUAUAAUGAAGCUCCGAUACGGAUACGGGUGCGGGUACGAUACGAUAUGGAUACGCGGAUACGCGAAUUUUUUUAAAUUUAGGAUAUGAUACGGUCAGGAUACGUUAACAAAAAUUUAUAAUAAAAUUUAUCUGUAUGUAAAAUACUAGAAGAAAAGUAACACUAAUUACUCUUCAUUAUUGUAUUAUUAUAAAAGUUACAAUUUUUAAAAAAUAAUACAUGUGAUCAAAAUAAUUUUUUUGAAAGUUUUCUUAUAAACCAUAUUACAUUUUCAUAUGUUGCGAUAUCGAGAGAAACAUCAUUAAAAGAACUCAACGCAAAUUUUAUGUGAUGUUGAUUAACUAAAUCACCUCUCUCGCUACGUUCAUCCACAAGAAGUAUAAUUUUAAGUGAUUCAUCAGUAAACAAUUCUAUUAAUGUAUAUCUAAAAUUGAAUCUUAUACAUCUAUAAUGAAUUUUUACAACGUUGUCUCACUUUUUUACUCUUCAUCUUUUUCUAGGAUACGUAUCUUUGAAGUAUUUUAGAAGUAUCCUUGUUUACACAUGGAGUAUCAAAUAAGUAUCCGAUAAAAUAUUUAUUAAAAAUUAAAAUAAUUAAUUCUGAUACUUUGUGGGUACAUAUUUGCGAGUACCCGUGGAGUAUCGGUAUCCGAUACGGGUACGUCUCCAUUUUGGAGUAUCCGAGCUUCAUAGAAACAUAAUAAAAAGUAUGAUAUAAAGUUGUUCCAAAAUAUGUCCCAAAAUAGUUAUACGAAUAUUAUCUCUCUUUUAUUUGCCUAUUAUUUUCUUCUUAUUUUGACAAAAACAAAACUAUUUUCAUUCAUUAAAAUUGAUAGAGUACAUUAUUCAACAGCACUAAAAACGUAAAGGAUUAAUCUGCAAACAAACUCAUAACAUCCAAGUUAAUAGUAUACAAGGGUAAAUUAUUGAUAAAUAAUUAAUCUUUCGAUAAAAAUUAAAUGAACACCAUAACAAGAUUGAAAAUCAAACAAUAUUGCACAAAACAACAAACAACACAUGACUACUUUGAAACGACUAAAUCACGAAGAAAAAAACCUAAAUCUAUAUAUAAAUCACUUAUUUAAAUUGAAAUAGAAUUAUUUUUCAUCACCAUUAAAGAGCAUUAUAGCAUAUUCAAAUACUAGAACAAAGGAUUAAACACAAACUGAAUUCAUGAACUCUUCAUUUGUUUCCAGCACCAUCAUUUUCUUAGGUGAAAGACACACUUCAAGAUCAAUGCUCCCUCCUCCUUCUUGACCUGGAUAUGAAAUUACUUUUCCAUCAAAUUUGUUAGCAUAUCCACUUCUAACUGCCAAAGCUUUUCCCAUUCCGAAUUCAUUUCCAUACGUAUUAAACCUCGGUGAACCACUUAUCAUCACAGUAUAAGGAUCAAAGAACAAAUCCAUUCGAUACAAAAAAGGAGAACGAAACCACUUUUCAACCGACCUACGCACCACUUUAUCAUCGUGAUUUGCAAUAGCCACAUGAAUUUUCCAUGCUGCCCAUCCUAGAUCAUUCUCCAGCAACUCUCCUACCGUCGUUUCAGCACUCACUACAUAAAGUGAAUUCCCAAAAUAUUCCUUAGGAAGAGGUGGUUCCAUUCUUGUUCGGUUGUUUGUAGCCAUUUUGCAAGUUGUUCUCUGACCGUGUUGUAGUUGACGUGCAUGAGUUAUAGAUCUCCAAACUAAUGCUGAUAAAGAUUGAAACGAAGAAAUUUUGUUUGUAUUAGACUCUGCAUUUGCCUUUGCUUUAAGUUUUGCUAUAGAUUCCACUGAAAAAUGGAAGAUUCUCUCUCUUAAAAUGGGUGUUUCAUAUCUGUGAACAAACUCAUGGUGAUGUUUGAAUGGAAGGUUGAUAAUUGGACCAUAACCUUGUGGAAACCAUCUCUUGUGGAUAGGUUGAUGUGAA
rnacentral:lncRNA from 1 species